rnacentral:rRNA from 1 species
CUCCUACGGGAGGCAGCAGUCGAGAAUUUUUCUCAAUGGGGGAAACCCUGAAGGAGCGACGCCGCGUGGAGGAUGAAGGCUUUCGGGUUGUAAACUCCUGUCAUUUGGGAACAAGCCGCUUACGUUAACUGCGUGAGCGUUGAUAGUACCAGAAGAGGAAGAGACGGCUAACUCUGUGCCAGCAGCCGCGGUAAUACAGAGGUCUCAAGCGUUGUUCGGAUUCAUUGGGCGUAAAGGGUGCGUAGGUGGCGCGAUAAGUCGGGUGUGAAAUCUCGGAGCUUAACUCCGAAAUUGCAUUCGAUACUGCCGUGCUUGAGGACUGGAGAGGAGACUGGAAUUCAUGGUGUAGCAGUGAAAUGCGUAGAGAUCAUGAGGAAGACCAGUGGCGAAGGCGGGUCUCUGGACAGUUCCUGACACUGAGGCACGAAGGCCAGGGGAGCAAACGGGAUUAGAUACCCCGGUAGUCCUGGCAGUAAACGGUGCACGUUUGGUGUGGGAGGAUUCGACCCCUUCCGCGCCGGAGCUAACGCGUUAAACGUGCCGCCUGGGGAGUACGGUCGCAAGAUUAAAACUCAAAGAAAUUGACGGGGGCCCGCACAAGCGGUGGAGUAUGUGGCUUAAUUCGAUGCAACGCGAAGAACCUUACCAGGCCUUGACAUGCAUUUCUAAGCGGGUGAAAGCCCGUGAGUCCUGAAAGGGACAACUUGCACAGGUGCUGCAUGGCUGUCGUCAGCUCGUGUCGUGAGAUGUUGGGUUAAGUCCCGCAACGAGCGCAACCCCUGUGAACUGUUGCCACCGGUCGCAAGACCGAGCACUCUGUU